GGCCAUACCACCCUGAGUGCGCCCGAUCUCGUCUGAUCUUGGAAGCUAAGCAGGGUCGGGCCUGGUUAGUACUUGGAUGGGAGAC
rnacentral:rRNA from 1 species